rnacentral:lncRNA from 1 species
CGCAAGAAUAGAGUUUGGAGAUGGACUUGCUUACCCGUCUAAAGGAUGUGGAAUUGGAGAAUAAGUGAGCUAAUCUUGGAAGAAUUUUGCAGAAAAACAGGACAUUUCUCCAUGGAUCCAGAGGAAGUGGUAACUGAGGUAUGAGACACUUGUGUCUUCUCAUCUUUUGUUUCUCUUUCCUGGGUUUGAGCUCUAUAGGGAUCUGGCUUCUUCAUGGGUAUUCCUAGUGGAUGGCCUCAAGUCUACAAUAGAGACUGCUUGGUAAGUAUAAGCUAUAUGUGGGUGGUUAUAGUCAUACUGUAGGUAGCACUUCUUGCCUGUGAUGGUAUUUCAAAUGUCUCACUCUUUUAUAGCAUGUGUGAAAUGAAGCUCAGACAUUGUUUUCUGUAUUGAGAUCCACAGAGAAUCUCUUAAAUGUCAUAACUAUGAUACUAUUUUUUUUAAUUUUACUGUGUCGAUGUCUUUAUAAAAAAGAGGUUCAUGAUACCCUGACCAUCUAAAACACACUACUGAAUAUGGAACAAACUUACAUGAAUUCUUAUAGGAUAGUCAG